rnacentral:sRNA from 1 species
CCCGCCAAUAAAUUGGCGGGCUAUUCUCAGGUGUCCCUACGGGACU